rnacentral:rRNA from 1 species
ACCUGGUUGAUCCUGCCAGUAGUCAUAUGCUUGUCUCAAAGAUUAAGCCAUGCAUGUCUAAGUAUAAGCAAUUAUACAGUGAAACUGCGAAUGGCUCAUUAAAUCAGUUAUCGUUUAUUUGAUGUUCCACAUUACAUGGAUACCUGUGGUAAUUCUAGAGCUAAUACAUGCGAAACCUGCGACUCACGGAGCGGGGCGUUUAUCAGCUGUAAACCAACGCCCUUCGGGGCAAUUUGGUGAUUCAUGAUAACCAAGCGGAUCGCACGGCCUUGCGCUGGCGACGGAUCAAUCAAGUUUCUGCCCUAUCAACUUUCGACUUUAGUGUAUUGGACUAAAGUGGUUAUAACGGGUAACGGAGGGUUAGGGCUCGACCCCGGAGAAGAGCCUGAGAAACGGCUACUACAUCCAAGGAAGGCAGCAGCGCGCAAAUUACCCAAUCCCGACACGGGGAGGUAGUGACGAUACAUACUGAUGCGGGGCUUUUAUGAGUCCUGCAAUUGGAAUGAGUACAAUUUAAACCUCUUAACGAGGAGCGACUACAGGGCAAGUCUGGUGCCAGCAGCCGCGGUAAUUCCAGCUGUAGUAGCGUAUAUUAACGUUGCUGUGGUUAAAAAGUUCGUAGUUGAACCUGGGCCUCGUGCCCGCCUGUCCGCCUCACCGGCAUGUACGGGCGUGGCCGAGUCUUCUCUAGGGGAUACUCAUGCCCUUUACUGGGUGUGAGGGUAGCCUGGACGUUUACUGUGAAAAAAUU